UUCAUGCACCAGCGAGUGCACGAGGAACAGCAACAUCUGACUCAGCGGCGAAGCUUCCAGUCAUCACUCUCUGGGAUAUUCCUGCAUCAUCCAGCGAUUACCGGGCAACUAUCGAGCACGCUCCGAUUCUACACUUCGGGCAUGCGCGACCGGAAACAUCAACGGUCACUUCCUGGGCUCAACCAGCUAUAAAGCCGCAAUCAAGGUGGUUCAACGACAGUGGGCGCGGCGACUCCGUCAGAGCUAUGUCGCUGAAAAACCCGCUUACACUUUUCGUGCAGACCCUGGCGGUUUAUUCGGCCAUUCAUGCACCAGCGAGUGCACGAGGAACAGCAACAUCUGACUCAGCGGCGAAGCUUCCAGUCAUCACUCUCUGGGAUAUUCCUGCAUCAUCCAGCGAUUACCGGGCAACUAUCGAGCACGCUCCGAUUCUACACUUCGGGCAUGCGCGACCGGAAACAUCAACGGUCACUUCCUGGGCUCAACCAGCUAUAAAGCCGCAAUCAAGGUGGUUCAACGACAGUGGGCGCGGCGACUCCGUCAGAGCUAUGUCGCUGAAAAACCCGCUUACACUUUUCGUGCAGGUGAGGAACGAGUACCCUUCAUGUUCUUACCGAAGCGACAAUGUGUGUCUUUUAGAGUUGCCGUGCCCACGGUCACUUUGGAGAGUGUUAUGUGUGUGCCAUGACCUGUUUAGUCUCUUGUUGAUGCUAAGCGGCGACGUAGAAACCAAUCCGGGGCCCACCCUUGAGGAUCUAAUGCAGCAUCUUACGGCCAUUGCAAGUGACGUGAAGGAGAUAAAGGAGGGAAAAACUGCUACAGAUGCACUGAUUGCGGAAACUAACGCUAGACUUGCAACAAUCGGACACAGAGUAGAUGGACUGUCCAAUAUGGCGGUUUCUGUGGCAGCCUUCGAGACAAGGAUUGUGUCUCUUGAAAAGAACGUUAAUUUCCUUCUCGGCAAAGUAGACGACCUGGAGAACAGAAGCAGACGCAAUAAUCUACUUGUUUAUGGUAUUAAAGAGACAGCAGAUGAAAGCAAUGAAGGGUUGGAAAACUGUGUUAAGAAAGAAAUUUUUGAGGAUAUUCUCGGUGUACACGCCUCUGGAAUUGAAAAGAUACACAGGCUUGGUCGUAAGGUCGCUAACAAAACGCGACCAGUUAUCCUAAGGUUUCUCGAUGAGAGGGAGAAGAGUGCAGUUCUGAGCAGCUGCAGGCGUUUAAAGGGCUCAAGGUUCAGUAUUUCUGAGGACUUCUCACCACGUGUCCAGCAGAUUAGGAAAAAAACUCUGGGACAGCGCUAAGGAAUUAAAAAAGAAUGGAGACAAAGUCGUUCUCUCUUUCGAUAAAAUUAAAAUAAAUGGACAAGUGUUCAUCUGGGAUGAUACUGCAAAUACGAGAAUUCCUGUCUAUCCUGCCACGCGUCAG